UACGGAAGGCAGCAGUGGGGAAUAUUGCACAAUGGGCGCAAGCCUGAUGCAGCCAUGCCGCGUGUAUGAAGAAGGCCUUCGGGUUGUAAAGUACUUUCAGUCGUGAGGAAGGUGUUAAGGUUAAUAACCUUAGCAAUUGACGUUAGCGACAGAAGAAGCACCGGCUAACUCCGUGCCAGCAGCCGCGGUAAUACGGAGGGUGCGAGCGUUAAUCGGAAUUACUGGGCGUAAAGGGCACGCAGGCGGUUAAUUAAGUUGGAUGUGAAAUCCCCGGGCUUAACCUGGGAAUGGCAUUCAAGCUGGUUAGCUAGAGUCUUGUAGAGGGGGUAGAAUUCCAUGUGUAGCGGUGAAAUGCGUAGAGAUGUGGAGGAAUACCGGUGGCGAAGGCGGUCCCCUGGACAAAGGACUGACGCUCAUGUGCGAAAGCGUGGGGAGCAAACAGGGAUUAGAUACC
rnacentral:rRNA from 1 species